UACAGAGGUCCCAAGCGUUGUUCGGAUUCACUGGGCGUAAAGCGCUUUAAGGCGGUUCGGUAAGUCGGGUGUGAAACCUCCAGGCUCAACCUGGAGACGCCACUCGAUACUGCUGUGACUAGAGUUCGGUAGGGGAUCACGGAAUUCCUGGUGUAGCGGUGAAAUGCGCAGAUAUCAGGAGGAACACCGGUGGCGAAGGCGGUGAUCUGGGCCGACACUGACGCUGUAGAGCGAAAGCGUGGGGAGCGAACAGG
rnacentral:rRNA from 1 species